AGGAAAUAGAUACCCCNGGUAGUCCACGCCCUAAAACGAUGUCGACUAGGUGUUCGGUGAGGAGACUCAUUGAGUACCGCAGCUAACGCGUGAAGUCGACCGCCUGGGGAGUACGGUCGCAAGAUUAAAACUCAAAGGAAAUUGACGGGGACCCGCACAAGCGGUGGAUGAUGUGGAUUAAUUCGAUGCAACGCGAAAAACCUUACCUACCCUUGACAUGUACGGAACCCUGCUGAGAGGUGGGGGUGCUCGAAAGAGAGCCGUAACACAGGUGCUGCAUGGCUGUCGUCAGCUCGUGUCGUGAGAUGUUGGGUUAAGUCCCGCAACGAGCGCAACCCUUGUCAUUAGUUGCUACGCAAGAGCACUCUAAUGAGACUGCCGGUGACAAACCGGAGGAAGGUGGGAUGACGUCAAGUCCUCAUGGCCCUUAUGGGUAGGGCUUCACACGUCAUACAAUGGUCGGUACAGAGGGUUGCCAAGCCGCGAGGUGGAG
rnacentral:rRNA from 1 species